rnacentral:rRNA from 1 species
GACGUAGGGGGCCAGCGUUGUUCGGAAUUACUGGGUGUAAAGGGUUCGUAGGCGGUGCGGCAAGUUGGGAGUGAAAUCUCUGGGCUUAACCCAGAGGCUGCUUCCAAAACUGCUGUGCUUGAGUGUGGGAGAGGCGCGUGGAAUUGCAGGUGUAGCGGUGAAAUGCGUAGAUAUCUGCAGGAACACCCGUGGCGAAAGCGGCGCGCUGGACCACUACUGACGCUGAGGAACGAAAGCUAGGGGGAGCAAACAGG